rnacentral:tRNA from 1 species
GAGCCCGUAGCUCAGCUGGUAGAGCAACUGACUUUUAAUCAGUAGGUCCGGGGUUCGAAUCCCCGCGGGCUCACCA